UAUAUAAUAAUUCAACAAGUAACUGGAGAGACACGAAAUACACUUCGUUUUGACGUUCUAACAAUGUCUCGGGCAACACUUCACACUGAUAGUUUGGUAAUUAUAGAGAACAGGGAUAUUACUAGUCGGGACUGAUCUACUCCGAUGUCGGCAUGCAAAGUUUAUUUACUAACGAUAAAAUAGUAACAAAAAAGGUUUGCUCCACUUUUAAAAUAUAGGGUCAUUAUAUUAAAGUAGUAGCUCAGAAUAUUUGAAUAUGUUCGCCGGACCAUGGCGGGAAACGAGGAGGUCAAACUUUGUCUCAGGCGCCCAUUUUUUUUUUGUUAAAAAUGAUCAAAUUCUGUAGUUUUUGACCUGAAAAGUCCGAAAAUGUUAGUACGAUGCCAUAUUGCCUCUACCCAGUGAUGGACAUUCGUGGGAUUUUUCCUUCGAGGAAUUCCUUUCUGCGCAUGCGUAAGCUGACGUCACAGCUACAUGUCGUCUGCUACCACACAUGUAUUCGAACCGCCAGAGGUGAAUUUAAGGGGCCUGUGCAAUUUUCCCGCGUUUUUAACAGACAAAUUAAGUACAAGAGUGUUAGUGUUGGUGAGUGUAAUAUUAGAGAAAAUUAAAAAAAAAUGAUAAUGAACCGCAGCCGUUCAGGUCAGGAAUCAUCGAGGCAAAGAAGAGGACAUUAUAUUUUGAUCCUUACUGGGAUCCAAUGGUACCCUAAAUUCUAAGUGGACAUUGUGGAAGAAAGAGUCGACUGUGAACUGUUUGCAUUUGUCGCAGUCAACAGGACAACGAAAACGCCCAAAUCCAUGUUCGCCGCCUGUUUGCAGUCGCAUUGGCCUUUGAUAAGCAGGGCAAUUCUUACUCGAUCGUGGAAGACCUUGUUUUCGGGCCCAUGCAACAGCCGAUUCUUUCGAAGUGGGCAAGCUGCAGAAAUCAUAUUAAAGUUAAUUAUUAAAUACCCCUUCAAAUUAAAAAAAAGACCAAAUUAAACUUUAUACCACUCAUUAUGGAUUAUGCACUACACACAGAAUAGAACACACUUAUUUAACAGAACACAGAAACACGAGGCUAUGAAGGUUCCGUUUGAUGAUACAAAUGAAUAACUAAAUAACAAAUCCAAACCUGAAAGAAAUGAAGAUUUGAAUACAGGUGUGAUGGAACAGUCAUCCGUGCAAACCAAUCAGAGGAUGGGUAUCUUUUAAAUUAUUGAAUUCGUAAACUUUUAACUUACAUUUUCGGACUUUUCAGGUCAAAAACUGUAAGAUUUGAUAAGUUUUAACAACAACAACAAUAUCGGUCCCUGAGACAUAGUUCAGCACAUUCAACAAUGCCUCCCUUCUCUAUAUUAAAAUAAUAUUCAUCAUUUAAAACUACUUAUUUGUUACUUCUCAUUUUUUACUUGCAUAGAAAAUACAGAAAAAUCUCUUACAAAUUUGGCAAAUAAAAUUGCGUAUGCUUCAAAGUUCAACAAUUACAAUGUGUCUGUACUAUAUACAUAACAUUAUCUUACUUUCUAAAUCAUAGUUAUAUGUUUAUGUAUUAUUGUUCAGUUAAGUAUAAUUUAUACAUUAUAAUUUCAUGCAAUUAUGUACACAAACGCAGUUAUGCGUAAUGAAUUUUUAGCAUAAUUAGAAAGUAUCAUUUCGAUACUGUUCACUAUUUGUUAAUAAAUUUUGUUAAACCUUACAAUCGAUUCUCUUUUAUGUUUGUCAUAGCAAUCUGAAGUUGAUUCCAGGAAUAUCUGUAAAUAAAAUAAAAUAUGUACAAUAAUUGUAACACCUUCA